rnacentral:rRNA from 1 species
GAUGAACGCUGGCGGCGUGCUUAACACAUGCAAGUCGAACGGAAAGGCGCAAGCUUGGUUGGUUUCUCGAGUGGCGAACGGGUGAGUAUCACGUGGGGGAUCUCCCCUGCACUUCGGGAUAAGCCUGGGAAACUGGGGCUAAUACCGGAGAGGACCACUUCUAGGAUGUGGUGGUGGAAAGAAUGUUCGGUGUGGGAUGAGCUCGCGGGCUAUCAGCUUGUUGGUGGGAAGAUGGUCUACCAAGGCGUCACCGGGUAGCCGGACCCUGAGAGUGAGCCGCCACCCUGGGACUGAGGUGAGGCCGAGACAGCGACGGGAGGCAGCUGUGGGGAAUAUUGAACGAGGGGCGCAAGGCGGGUGCAGCGAGUCUGCGUGGCGGAUGACGGCCUUCGUGUUGUAAACUCCUUUCGUUAGGGACGAAGCGUUUUGUGACGGUACCUGGAGAGAAAGCACCGGCUAACUACGUG